rnacentral:rRNA from 1 species
UACGAAGGGGGCUAGCGUUGCUCGGAAUCACUGGGCGUAAAGCGCACGUAGGCGGCUUUCUAAGUCAGGGGUGAAAUCCUGGAGCUCAACUCCAGAACUGCCUUUGAUACUGGAGAGCUUGAGUCCAGAAGAGGUGAGUGGAACUCCGAGUGUAGAGGUGAAAUUCGUAGAUAUUCGGAAGAACACCAGUGGCGAAGGCGGCUCACUGGUCCGGUACUGACGCUGAGGUGCGAAAGCGUGGGGAGCAAACAGG